GUAACUCCCUAGUGUUGGCGGACAUGUUGACCUAUGUCGGAGACCUAUUCCAAACUAGAACCCCAACAGGGCUAUAAAAAGAAAAAAGGAACACUUGAGUAAAUUUUACAAGAUGAGCUCACCAUCUCUCCAAGAAUUAUUAGAUGACAGCGAUAACACAGGGGAGGUAACUCCAGACCUCGAUGACCCGGGCAGCACCUCAGGAAGUGACGUGGAGGGGGAGGAGGAGGAGAAGGAAGAGGAAGAGGCGGUGUGUAGAAACAAUGACUUCGACCCUGGUUUGGAGGCCCUGUAUCAUCAACAGAGUUCUCGUGAGAGGAACACAGAAGACCAACUGAGGACAGAUGAAGGUUUACCAGGUGGAGCUGACUGUGCUGCUGUGAUGCUAGGUGACAGGGACGAACUAACAACCAGAGAUGAUGCAGCUGAAAAUUGCCACUACGACAGUGGAAAGACGCACCGAUCAUGAUCUCCUUCGUGUUUGCAGGGGGCCGUGGCACUAACGCAAGAUGAAGGACAAGACUUGUCACGUGCUAUAGCAGAAUCAGUCAGCAACGCGUUGUCAUCAGUGGAUACAGAACAGCGUGUAACAAAUAUAGUAAUCAACAACCCACAGGUCCACUUUACAAAGAAAACAGAGGUCGCCAACCUUAACGCACGAUAUGCAACCGUGGGAGGUCAACAGGUGAUCCAGCCAUCAACGUCCACUGACGGUGGAGAAAGACAACAGAACGAUGAAACCAGACCAACAAGUAAAUUAGACAUUUUUUGUUACGUUCUAUUUGAUGUUAAGUAAGAGAACCUAUCGAAGUGUAUCAGCUGAAACAUCACACGAAUAUUAUCGUGUAUUGGCUGACACCAUGU